rnacentral:rRNA from 1 species
CGCAGCCGCGGUAAUUCCAGCUCCAAUAGCGUAUAUUAAAGUUGCUGCAGUUAAAAAGCUCGUAGUUGAAUUUCGGGACUAAUAUGUCGGUCGUGCCUCGGUACGUACUGGCUUAUUGGUUUCUCCUUUCUGAAGAACCAUGAUGUCAUUUAUUUGGUGUCGUGGGGAAUCAGGACUGUUACUUUGAAAAAAUUAGAGUGUUUAAAGCAGGCUCACGCUUGAAUACAUUAGCAUGGAAUAAUGAAAUAGGACGUUUGAUUCUAUUUUGUGGUUUCUAGGAUCGACGUAAUGAUUAAUAGGGAUAGUUGGGGGCAUUAGUAUUCAAUUGUUCAGAGGUGAAAUUACUUGGAUUAUUGAAGACUAACUACUGCGAAAGACAUUUGCCAAGGAUGUUUUCUAUUAAUUCAAGAACGAAAGUUAGGGAGUCGAAGACGAUCAGAUACCGUCGUAGUCUUAACCAUAAACUAUGCCGACUAGGGAUCGGAUGAUGUUAAUUUUUAAUUAGUACUCUAUUCGGCGCCUUACGGGAAACCGAAAGUUA